CUCCACUGCAAUAACAUUGAAGUUAAUAUGCGUUUCUUGGCUCUCUGUUUGGUACUUUUCACUGUCAUGGCUUUAACACUUAGUCAGGCAACUCCGGUAGAAGAAUAUUCUACUUCAUUCCAAGAAAAUCCGGAAAACCCUUUGGAACAACAAGUUGAUCCUGCUGGAAGCUUUUCCAUAUGGUGGGGUUAAUUUAUGGCCUGUGGGGAUAACACGGAAUUUAAAUUCAGUAAAAAUAUUUAAGUAAAUAGAAACUUGCAGGAAUUAAAUGAUGAAGCUUUUACUAUACUAAUCAUUUUAUUCCAUUUGUAACACCUCGAAAUAUUGAUCUGCGACCUCAUAAAAUAUAUAUAUUCUGGAUCGUCUCGACAUUUGAAGUCGGUCUAGCCAUGUAA